CAUUAAAGUGUGUUUGAGCUGUUCCUUAUAUUACAGCUUGUGAUCUUUCUACAGACUGAGCGACGUUACGUUCACAUAAUAAAGUGGCCAACACACGACAACAACACAUUGGUGUAACAUCGUUUAGCUUUUAUUAACGGCAGAGAGCAAUAAACGGAGAAGUCUACCUGGCCCCCGAGGUCUUAUCAUCAACUACGGUGGCCGUUAUGGACCAUAAAGGGCGUUUGUGAGGGAAGAGAUCAUCUGCAGAAAGAAGGUGAAAUAAAGUUCACACUGGGCGACAAGUGCAGAGGAAAAGGAAGCAGAGGAGAAAAAAAAAGCUUCAGACUAAUGUCAUGUCACAUCAGCAGGACUGUACGUUCAAUGGUGAAUCAACAUUCAACAGCAUAUUCUCUACAUAUAUGCAGUGUGCAGGAUAUUCUAUUUGUUGUGUUUAUAUGUGCCCUGGGGGCAGAGGGGAGAGAACGGAGCAGAAGGAACAACAGCGUCAGUGUGUGUCUGUCUGACGACGAGGCGAACACUCACCUAGUCUACGUCUGGGGUUAUUUUCAUUCUGCAGAGGAGGAAGACACAGAACCUGUAGGUGGACAGAUGUGUGUAGGAGGAGGUUGGCAGAGUUCUGACUAGAGAAUGCACUCAGGAGACACACAGAGAGAAAUAUUUCCAUGUGAAAACUUCCAGCUACAGUGAAACAGCAAAGAUGAAUUGAAAGAUUGCAUGCAUCAAAAUUCACUUAAAAUCUAACAGAGUAAGACAGAUACUUCACAGACCACAGAUCUGUAUGUUUACUGCUUUAAUACUGAUACAAUUAACAUGACAGAGGAUUCAGAACAACGUAAACGUCCACCUCUCUCUUCUUUAGCGAACAUGUAAACAAACGAAAUUU